AGCUUUGCGCAGUGGCAGUAUCGUAACCGAUGAGGUAAAUCCGAGGUGCGAUUAUUGCUAGUUGAAAACUUUAACCAAUACCCCGCCAUGUGCACGUGAAAUACCGUGCGCUACGGCAAUUUUUGGAAGCCUCUACGGGGG
rnacentral:snRNA from 15 species